rnacentral:rRNA from 1 species
CCUACGGGUGGCAGCAGUGGGGGAUAUUGCACAAUGGGGGAAACCCUGAUGCAGCGACGCCGCGUGUGGGAAGACGGUCUUCUGGAUUGUAAACCACUGUCCCCAGGGACGAAAAUGACGGUACCUGGGGAGGAAGCUCCGGCUAACUACGUGCCAGCAGCCGCGGUAUUACGUAGGGAGCAAGCGUUGUCCGGAAUUACUGGGUGUAAAGGGAGCGUAGGCGGGGAUGCAAGUUGGGUGUCAAAACUACCGGCUCAACCGAUAGUCGCACUCAAAACUGCAACUCUUGAGUGAAGUAGAGGCAGGCGGAAUUCCUAGUGUAGCGGUGAAAUGCGUAGAUAUUAGGAGGAACACCAGUGGCGAAGGCGGCCUGCUGGGCUUUGACUGACGCUGAGGCUCGAAAGUGUGGGGAGCAAACAGGAUUAGAUACCCUUGUAGUC